GCGGGGUAGCUGGACGGCACUGCAAAAGGAACCAGAGAUUGGGAGGAGAGGGCGUCUUUUAACAAAAGGUUCUGGUACCUAAUGGACCGGCUAGCUCACGUGACGUGUGAAUAACUUAGUAGAGUGACCUCAACAUAACAAAGACUGCUGGAACACAUUUGUAUGAUUGAAAUUUGAAUUUGCCCAACCUAUUACGUCAUGGGAUGCUCUGGCAGUAAAGGUUUAAAUAUUUACAACCAAAACGGGACUUACAAUACAGCUGAAAACUCAGUGCAGCAGCAGGGAGAGAACUCCCCCGAGAAGCAGACGACAGAAGUAUUAUCACAAGUGAAAACAUCGUCACCAGUGGCCAUGGAGUUGACUGAAGUUGAGACAAACAAACACUUAGAAGAGGACAACUUAGAAACAGAAAACACGGAACAAUCACUAGUAAAUAAAGAUGGAAGAAUUCUGGGACAAACAACAGAAGAGACAGAGGAAGAGAUGAAAUUAUAUGAAGAGUCAUUAGAAAAGGGAGAGAAAGUAAUGUCGGAAAUAACA
rnacentral:sRNA from 1 species